rnacentral:sRNA from 1 species
UCUUUUUUCCUUUUUUCUCUUCUUCUUCUCUUUUUUUUUCUUUCUUCUUUUUUUUCUUUCUUCUUUCCUUUUAGCUUGCAUCAGAACUUAUUGGCUUGAUAACAAUACAUUCCACAUCGUCAUUUAUCGAUAAGACGGGGAAAGAAGUUCUCAUCCUAACAAGCUGUUG